UCGAAAUGGAAGACGGGCGCCCCGCGG
rnacentral:sRNA from 1 species